CCUACGGGCGGCAGCAGUAGGGAAUUUUCCACAAUGGGCGAAAGCCUGAUGGAGCAACGCCGCGUGGGUGAAGAAGGUCUUCGGAUCGUAAAACCCUGUUGUUAGAGAAGAAAGUGCGUGAGAGUAACUGUUCACGUUUCGACGGUAUCUAACCAGAAAGCCACGGCUAACUACGUGCCAGCAGCCGCGGUAAUACGUAGGUGGCAAGCGUUAUCCGGAUUGAUUGGGCGUAAAGGGAACGCAGGCAGUCUUUUAAGUCUGAUGUGAAAGCCUUCGGCUUAACCGGAGUAGUGCAUUGGAAACUGGGAGACUUGAGGGCAGAAGAGGAGAGUGGAACUCCAUGUGUAGCGGUGAAAUGCGUAGAUAUAUGGAAGAACACCAGUGGCGAAAGCGGCUCUCUGGUCUGUAACUGACGCUGAGGUUCGAAAGCGUGGGUAGCAAACAGGAUUAGAUACCCCAGUAGUC
rnacentral:rRNA from 1 species